UUUCCGUAGGUGAACCUGCGGAAGGAUCAUUACCGAGCGAGGGCCCUCACACACAUCCAUCUCACCCCUAUGUGCACCACCGCGUGGGUCCCCCUUUGGCUUGUUCGGAGGGGGGCUUACGUUUUCACACAAACUUUGUAUGCAGUGUAGAAUGUAUUUUUUGUUUUUGCGAUCACGCAAUCAAUACAACUUUCAACAACGGAUCUCUUGGCUCUC
rnacentral:misc_RNA from 1 species